UUUACAACGAAUGUAAAAGACAAGUCUCAGGAAAAGAUGUAAUUUUAUGGAAGAAAAAAGAUAGAAAAUAACAUUACCCAAAUGAAAACAGAUGAAGAUAAAGAUCAUUUCUUGAACAAUAUCUUCACAUCAUGGCUGGGCAAAGUGGAAAGAGACAGAAAACUGAAAAGUGACAACUUAAAAACUUUCUUUAAACAUAUCACUCUGACACCAAUGUGUAAGAUGAAGUGGACAGGAAUGGAACUGUACUGGGAGGCUCUGACAGUUCGGGUGAGAAGAAAUGAAGGGUCCUGUAAGCAGAUGAGCAGAUGAACAGAAGAGCAGAAGAGCAGCACAGCCGAGAAGGAAUGAAUGGCACAGCAGAGAAGGAGAGAAGAGAAGGAGCAUCUGAACGUUGAGAGUUCAACUAGAAAUGGUCAGAGAGGAGACUGAUCAUGGGAUAGCCAAACUCCAGGAGAAGAUUAUGUUCCCACUCCAUCCCCUUUCCAGAUCCCC
rnacentral:lncRNA from 1 species